rnacentral:misc_RNA from 1 species
GAUGAAGAACGCAGCGAAAUGCGAUAAGUAAUGUGAAUUGCAGAAUUCAGUGAAUCAUCGAAUCUUUGAACGCACAUUGCGCCCGUCAGUAUUCUGGCGGGCAUGCCUGUUCGAGCGUCAUUACGCCCCUCAAGUCCCCUGUGGACUUGGUGUUGGGGAUCGGCGAGGCUGGUUUUCCAGCACAGCCGUCCCUUAAAUUAAUUGGCGGUCUCGCCGUGGCCCUCCUCUGCGCAGUAGUAAAACACUCGCAACAGGAGCCCGGCGCGGUCCACUGCCGUAAAACCCCCCAACUUUUUAUAGUUGACCUCGAAUCAGGUAGGACUACCCGCUGAACUUAAGUAUAUUAAUAAGCGGAGGA